rnacentral:lncRNA from 1 species
AUCUCUACAACUAAAAAGACCCGAAGGUCAUCGUCUCCAGCGGUUAUCGCCCCCCCUCCCGUGGUUUCGCCCCCCCACUCCCGUGGUUUCGCCUCCGACCGUCCCCCCUCGGUCGCCCCCACCUCCCCCUCAAACGCGCUCCAUCAGCGUCGGUAAACGCAAUCCCCUUUGACGCCAAACGCAAUCCGCGAAGCCGCCGCCGAGCACGCCCGCCGCACUUCCCCUCGGACUCCCCGUAGCUGCCGCCGAGCACGCCCGCCGCCAGCCCUCUUCGCCAGACGUCCUCUCUCUCCAGGUUCUCCUCCACCCACUCCGAGCACGCCCGCCGCCACGCCCACCACCAGCCCCGUCCCCGUCCCUCCAAGCACGCCCGCGCGCGGCGCUCCUCUCACCCUCGCUCGUCCCCAAUCACGCGCCACCAAGCCGAGAAGGAGAAGGACCACACCUGGCGCCAUCGAGGUAGAGACGACGAGGAUCGUCGAGCUGCUGCCUCGGAGGGAGAGACAACGGCGAGAGGCCGUCACAACCCGCUGCCGAGGGAGAGGCGAGGUCCCAGCCCCGGUGGCUCCCGAGUUGACCGCCCCAUCAUUGGAGGCCGGAGACGGGCGUCCUAGACCGUUGUGGCCCCAGCGCCUGGUGAGUUUCCCUCUGGUUCUCCCCUCCAUUCUCUUCCUCUUAGCAAGAUCUUGUCAGGACACACCAUUGCCUAGGAAGCCUCCCUGUACAACAUUCCGAGUUCAGAGUUUAAGGAGUUCAGAGUUUAAGGUAAUUGACAUUCAGAGGUUCUGUGAUUUGUUUAUGUCGUUCUGCUGUUGAUUAAAAAAAACUAUCUAACGAUAAAAAAAAUUCACUACAAUUUCCCACCAAAAUCAUCAGCAGGGGUGAGUAUGAGGAUUGGGGAAAAAUUAUUUUCAUUGCUUAUUUUUUUCUACAAGUGACGAUAUUAACUUCUGGCUAUUUUUUCUUGAUGAAGUGGCGUUUAUUUUUUGCUAUCAGUGAUGAUAUUACUCUAUCCAUGUUUCACUUAGUUUAGGGGAUUACUAGCUUCACCAUAAUAAAAGGUGUUUUUCAAUCAUUCUAUAGAUUGUGAAUUCCGUUGUCUGAAACUCUGAGCCAAUGCUCUACCUGCUACAAAACACCUGUAUGGACCAUAUACAUGUGAUUUUCGAUCCAGUGCUGCUUUGCUAGAAUGAUUGCAUUGAUGUUUUUUACUGAGUGACCUACACAAAUUCUUUCAACUAAAAAGAAUUUGUUCAGCCUAUGAUAUUUUCUUUCUUGCAUUAUUAUAAAUAAAUGUGCAUCUUUGGUAGAGAAUGGAAAUCAUGUCAGCAGUGAUUGUGCUUCACCGUAAUAGAAGGGUUCUUUCAAUCCUUAUGUGGAUAGUUUUUUGGGUUUAUUUCAAGGUGCAAUUUCCUGGCAAUACGUAUGCACAGGUUUUGGCUCCUGGCAACUUUGCUUCUUUGAUGAGAAGCUCCUUCCCAUGUCUCUCUUCAUUUUCCUAUCUACACUUUCCAAUGUCUAGGCAUUAACUCAUACUUCUCACUCUUUUAGUAGAAUUGUGACUGGGCAUUACCUACAUGAGAGACUAGGCAGAAACUCUGAAACAUAGUGAAACUUUUAGUAGUCACUUGGUAAGUCAUGAUAAUUUUUUAUAGCUUGGCCCUGCAGUUGCAGACACUUCACUAUUCUCCUUAAGUAGCUUGGCAUAUAUUGAGAUUUGGAAGAUAUGAGAUAAUUGAUGCCUUGAAAUGUUCCAUGAUUUAGUUAUUUUUAUCUCUUCAAUUUAUUUAGGUGCUUAUUCAGUCUAUUUUAUAUCCAUGUUGGUAUAUAAUGGAUAGCCAAAUUUAAGAUUCCCUGUUGCAGACACUUUACUAUCCUGACUAGCUUGAAUCCCUCUUGAAUAGCACCAAUCUCGCCUAUUCAGGUAACUUGCUUGCUCACCUCCUAUUUGAUAAUAUACCAACGUGUGUUAUGUGCUUGUGUUUUAGGCAAAGGCAAAAAUCGGGUGACAUCAGUUUAGAUGUUAAUAAGAGCACGUAUAUGGUUAAAAUAAAUUAAGUGUAUCCUAAAGUUCCUAAACUUGUAGGAACAAUUGACGGACUUUCUGUUUUUUGAAUGACACAUCUAGGUUUUCAAAAUUCACUGCCUUAAGUCAAUUUCAAAUGUUUAGGGUUUAGGGUUUAGGGUUUUAGGGUUUAGGGUUUAGGGUUUAGGCCAUCAAACACAGUUCUCCGUCUCUACAUCCCCUUCCUCCAGUCCAGGUAUUUCACAGUGACAUUGCACGAUCUCUCUUGAUACUAUUAUUUUACAAAGAGUUGUGGUUGGAUGGAUAAUGGAAAAUACUGUGUACGCAAUUAUCAGUGUCCUGAUUUGUAUAUUUCUUUUUCCCUUCAUCCAAAUUGUUGCUUUGGCAUUAGAUUUUGAGAAUAAGUACCUGAAUGCUUAAGUAACUCUAGAGUGAUUGUUUGAUGGCAGAAUAUAACAUUUAGUUAGUCGUACCCAUUCUUAAUAAGUUGGGUGGCACUUCCCUGUAAAAAUUGUUAAUCAGCAACCAAACCUACCCAUUCUAAAUGCCAUAGACCAUAUUCAGAGAGAGAGAGAGAGAGAGUGAGGUGCACAGAUAACAAUAGUUAGUGCAUGCUUUUACAAUCCAAAGCUAAAAUAUACAUCUUUUUGCUUCCUUGCUGACAUGAAGCAAAAGUGUGAAUCUCUAACAAAUCUUCAAACAAGCAAGCAUAGAAACACAUUUAAAAAUUAUCAAUUCUGACCCAAGCAGGGGCGGGGGUGCCGAUGCAAGCGACGAACUCGAUCCCGCUCUCCUUCGGCUGGGGCGGGCCACCUAUGGAUGAUGGGCAUGUCCACUAAACCAUUGACUCUGCUUCAUGUCCUCCUCGCCGUCGACUGUGCUUUGGAAGUUUGGAUGGGGUGGGGGUGGCGUCUGCAUGGUAGUGGCAAGGAGGUGGCAGGCUGUCAGUGCUGGCAUAUCAGGGCGACCUCCUGGGGCAGCCCGGUGCAGCCGUGCAGGGGCAUGGCGGGACGACGUUACGGUGGGCUAGCAACCUCUAUUGGGUAGCGGCAGUGUCAGCGGUGGGUAGCGGCGGUGUCAGACGAUAACAUCCCAGUCUUUUUAGGUGUAGAGAUUUAAAGGUGCAAAUUAGUGGCAAUUUGUAUGCAUAGGUUUCAACUCCUGGCAACUUUGUUUAGUCAAAGAGAAUCACCGUUUCAUGUCUCUCUUCAAUUUUCCUGUCUACGCUCUUACUUCUCACUCUUUUAGUACAAUUCUGACUGGGCAUUACCUGCAUGAGUGACUAGGCAGAAACUCUGAAACAUAGUGAAACUUUCAGUAGUCGCAUGGUAGGUCAUGAUAUUUUUCUGCUAAUUAGUUCCUCACUAUUCUGUACUUUUGUUCAGAUAUUGGAUCGUGGUGGGAAGAUUGAACUUUUGGUGGGUAAGACAGAGACCUUACAGUCGCAGGUAUUUAUUCAGUGUCCGUUGUCUGUAUGAUGAUAUGAUGAUGUAUUGAAAUCCUGUUAUAGAAACAACAUUCAACUUUGUCUCAGAAAUUUAUACAAAUGUGGCUCUUUAGAAAUCCUGUUAUAAAAUCAG